GUAGAGUGAGACUUUCAGGGGACUGUGUUUUCUCUUUCAGUUUCACUUUUGUACUUGCAGUACAGACUACUGCCACGCUAGCUGGCUAGGUUGCUCUGUAAGUAAGGCUUUUCACUAUUAAAUACCCUUAUAUUUCUACCUGACUCUUUAUUGGUAAUUUCCCACUAUAUCUGGUUGUCAGGAGCAGGAUAUGGAAACCUACACCCCAUUUGGGACAGGCUGUGGGUCCCACCAGACCUGUGACCUUGGAGGGGAAAAGUCCCUCUCUUCACAGGUGUCCCAGGCUCCCAGCCAACCCGUUGCGGUUGAGCUGUUCCCAGCUUGGAGACUGACACCGAUCUCCUAUGGUUUUACCACCAUGUGCUCGGGACCAGCUGGGACUGCUGCCUACCUGCACCACCAGGCCUCCAGCCCUUGAACCAUGUUGGACUGCCACCCACCAAUGCCAAGCUGACCACCUGUGCCAUCCGCUGGACAAACAUAGUUACUGCAUCUGGAGUAGAAAUCAGGUAAAAUUAUGGCGGAAUAUAUAUCAUUUGCUAAAAUUGGUAAUAUUUUUGCUUAUUACAUGAAUUCAAUGUUUGAGGACGAUGCUAAUUUGCCAAUUACUGGCCUAUAUGCCAUAACGGGCGUUAGCUUGCUGGUACAAAUAAUAUUACUAGCCAGAACACUCAGAAAUAGAGAUAAGGAUAAGCUCACCACAUACUUACCGUAAAUAACAGCUUUACGCACUGAGGUUUUGGAGAGUAGAUUAGGUCAGACCACAAUUGUGCAGCAAGUGGAACAGCAAUUGGAUGAUAAGCUUGGCUCUGUGUCCAUCACACUAAAGAAAGAGCCGUCAGUUAUCCAAGAUGAGAUGCAGCGUAUUUAUGCCAUGUCUGAGGCCUUAGAGGCUAGGCUGUCAGAAGACCAUGAUGAGCUAAAGAAUAUCUGUAGCCAGCUAGACACUCAGAUAGGCAAUGUUACCCAGAAAUUAGAUGCAAAGGUCCAAGAUACCCAGGAUAGGGUUGAAGAAUUGGACAAUGCAAUUCAAUCAAUUAUUGAAGCAUCCAAGGUAGCAGAUCACAAAUUUGAGUCUAGAUUUGAAUGUCUGGAAGAUUAUUUACAGUACAGGACUGACAGAUUACAAAGGUCCAUACGGUCCACUGCUGAGGACUCAAAAUCAGCAAAUCAUGACCUGGAAUCUAGACUCCAAUACAUAGAGGGCAGUUUCCAUGCCAUCCAGAUGCUGCCUAAGGAUGAUCAUAUUAAAGACCUAGAAAAACAUGGAGAUG
rnacentral:lncRNA from 1 species